UGCCUUCAUGUGAUUGCCACCUGCGCCUUGCCAACUCAGUCCUGCUGCUCUGCGUGGGAAGCUGCUUGGAGCUCCGCCUGAAAAGCAGAGCUCCAGUAGAACUCUGAAAACUCUGUACAAGACUAAUCUCUCUCUCUCUCUCUCUCUCUCUCUCUCUCUCACACACACACACACACACACCCCUGCCAAAUAGUGUGGUAUUUUAUUGGAGCUUCUUAUGUUUGCUACUUUGCUUGAAAAAGCUACUGUGCUAUUUAUUCUAUUAAAGCCCAGUCUACUAGGAUCCUUCCCCGCCUAUUGAAAUCUCUCCAAUCUCUGCCCCACCCCACCCAGCCCCUGCUUAUGUUUGGAAUGUGUUUUUAAAUAUUGGUAAAGGGUGUGGAUUGGGAAGGAGCAUGCAAGGGAGUCAGUGAGGAACAACACUCAAGGACUGCCAAAGCAUAAAGAUCAGGAACUUACUUUUGGAAUAAGUUAGCUAAUGUUCUGCUUUCCCCACAUUCUAAUAAUAUUCACACUCUGCAUGCAUAAAAAAAGAUAGAGAAAUGGUGUGGAGCUAAAUUGGCAAUAAGAACUGAAGAACACCUCUGGUGUCAGCUUCUGCCUGUCAAGAAAGACCAUGCUGGGAAGGAAAUGCUUUCCUUGUCAAAGCAAAAGGCAUCUGAGAAUUGAGUGGUUGGGAUCCAUAGCUCAGUGUUUUGCAUGAGGAAGGGCCCUGGUCCAAUCCUUGGCAUCUUCAGGUAGGGCUAGGAAAAGACCCCUGCCUGAAACCUCCAAGUCUUGCUGCCUCUCAGUAGUGAGCUAGAUGGAUUAUGGUCUUACUCACUAUAAGGCAGUUUCCUCUUAGCUGUGAUCUUUCCAUUAGACACAACCCUGGUAAGUCACAUGACAACUAUACUGAGCUUGCGAGGGGUAUAGGAAGAUGCCUUACAGUGUACCAAACCAGGGGCAGGCAUGUCCUGUUUUACAGCUUGAGGUGAAAUGGGAAGCGCCACCUUGCCUUGCCGCUGCUCCGACCACCACCUACCUGCUCCUGCCACUGCCACAUGCCUUGCCACAUCUGCUAUUGGCAGAAAAGCAGCAGUCACAGGAGCAGGCAGGGGGUUGGUGGGAAAGGAGAGAGACAACCAGUACAGUCCACACAGCAGCAUGUACAACAUGCCAAAAUGAUUAGCCAGUGAUAUGAGACUCUCGGGAGCAGAUCUGACCCUAUUUUGGUAGUACUUAAAGAUCUCAGACUCAUCCCACAAAGAAGCAGAGGAAUCACUUGCCCCAUGGCUUCCUCCCAAGCUGCUUGGCUAAUACCCAUAUGUUGGCAGUGUUCGGGUUUCCUUCCUGGCCCAGCAGCUAAGGAGGAAGGGGUCAUCAUGGGAUGAAAUCAUUCAGAGGUAUGGGCAUGUGUGUAGGCGUCUUCACCUAUUACACUAUCUGUACACAUGUACAAGUGUCUGAGUGAAAGUGUGUACAUUUAUUGCUUUGCAUAGCUCAACUAUUUAUGUACACAGGUACAUAGACGGUACUCUAGUUGAAUGUAACAGGAGAAUAACUCUUAUGCCAUAUAUGCCAUCCCGCCACUGCCCCCCAGCCACCACUGACUUACGAAGAUGAAUUCUUAUAGGAGUCUAUUAAUGUAAUGAAAUCAUUCAUUAUUAACACCUGCCACAAACUACAUACAAUACGCUUUAAUCUGUAAGGUCUAUUUAUAAUCAUUAUAUGCACAAUAUAUAUAUUAACUAAUAUUGGAAGACUUGCAAAAUGUAUACAUAGCAGCUUUUUGUUUUUUACUGUGUUGCUUUUCACGCCUAUGGAUGCAUUAAACACUUCAGAUAGUUAUUUUUAAA